rnacentral:lncRNA from 1 species
AGAAAGCCGACACUACCGAUUCCUAGCUGGAUAACUGGUGAUAAAGACUAGAAAAACAGGUAAAACCUAUGAAUCUAGCAAAUAUCGAUAACUAGUGAAUAAAUCUAAACGAAACAACAGCGAUACGCCCGAAGUUAAAGCUUAGAUAUUACUCGAUAAACAGAACUUACAGAAUCGGCCGGAGAUCAAGAUGAUGCAGCCCUGCCAACCCGCACGAACUCGUGAAAAAGAGAAAAGUAGUAGCGAAGUCGCCUGCUUGAAAGUAAGUACGAGGAAAAAGUAGCUUGUUGUAUUGAUUGGUUGAUGAUUACAGAUUUACCAAGGUAGCUAUUUAUAGCCCCGUACAGAUAUCUUCUUAACCGACUAGAAUUCUAUCCCUAAUUCAAACAGAAAACGAAUAUCUACAAGCAUGAUUCGUGCUAGGUUAGUUACUCCACGCUUUGUGGGCUGACUUCCAGCUCAUCCUUCUAUUCCAAGCCCAUACAGGCCCAAUUAGCCCAUCCUCCUAAUCGGCCGAUUCCUCAUCGGCAAAAGAUUACCGAUUGGGACUCUGAUAUAUUCGACCCGAAGCGAGACAGAAGUCACCAGCCGAUCUCACACUGUAGCACCAUUUGGCCGAUUCCCAACUGUGCUUCUCCGAUUCCUCCUCUUCUUAGCACCGAUUCUACUAGUGACGAAAUCUGGCGUCAACAGCUAGGUACUGCUUGCAGUUUCUCUUCCAGUGACCAAGUUCAUGACAGUAAAAGCACUCUUUGUCUGGAGCAGGUCUAGGUCCAGCUUUAACCUUGGGCGCUGGGUUUGGCUUGGACGUUCCAGCCUUGCCCUUCUUCUUCCAAGAAUUGCCCUUCUUCUUAAAGCUAGGCUUGUUCUGUAUAGCCAUCACAUGGCUGGUACUAGUGCUUUUCUUGAUGUCUACCUCUGCUAUCUUGAGCAUACCACACAGUUCAUUCAAACCCUUCUCC